rnacentral:rRNA from 1 species
AGUUUGAUCCUGGCUCAGGAUGAACGCUGGCGGCGUGCCUAACACAUGCAAGUCGAGCGAAGCACUUUGCUUUGAUUCUUUCGGGAGGAGAAGUGAUUUGACUGAGCGGCGGACGGGUGAGUAACGCGUGGGUAACCUGCCUCAUACAGGGGGAUAACAGUUAGAAAUGACUGCUAAUACCGCAUAAGCGCACAGGACCGCAUGGUCCGGUGUGAAAAACUCCGGUGGUAUGAGAUGGACCCGCGUCUGAUUAGUUAGUUGGCGGGGUAACGGCCCACCAAGGCGACGAUCAGUAGCCGGCCUGAGAGGGUGAACGGCCACAUUGGGACUGAGACACGGCCCAGACUCCUACGGGAGGCAGCAGUGGGGAAUAUUGCACAAUGGGGGAACCCUGAUGCAGCGACGCCGCGUGAGCGAUGAAGUAUUUCGGUAUGUAAAGCUCUAUCAGCAGGGAAGAAAAUGACGGUACCUGACUAAGAAGCCCCGGCUAACUACGUG